GACGAACGCUGGCGGCGUGCUUAACACAUGCAAGUCGAACGGAAAGGCCCUGCUUUUGUGGGGUGCUCGAGUGGCGAACGGGUGAGUAACACGUGAGUAACCUGCCCUUGACUUUGGGAUAACUUCAGGAAACUGGGGCUAAUACCGGAUAGGAGCUCCUGCUGCAUGGUGGGGGUUGGAAAGUUUCGGCGGUUGGGGAUGGACUCGCGGCUUAUCAGCUUGUUGGUGGGGUAGUGGCUUACCAAGGCUUUGACGGGUAGCCGGCCUGGGAGGGUGACCGGCCACAUUGGGACUGAGAUACGGCCCAGACUCCUACGGGAGGCAGCAGUGGGGAAUAUUGCACAAGGGGCGGAAGCCUGAUGCAGCAACGCCGCGUGCGGGAUGACGGCCUUCGGGUUGUAAACCGCUUUCGCCUGUGACGAAGCGUGAGUGACGGUAAUGGGUAAAGAAGCACCGGCUAACUACGU
rnacentral:rRNA from 1 species